AGUGAACGCUGGCGGCAGGCCUAACACAUGCAAGUCGAACGGCAGCACAGUGAAGCUUUCUCCUUGGGGGGCGCGUGGCGGACGGGUGAGGAAUACACGUGGAUCUCUACAGUUGCGGGGGAGAUCGCGUGGAGACUCAUACUCUAACACCACACGCGCUCUAGGGGAGAGAGCGGGACAUCUUCGGCCGUCGCGAGUGUGUGUGCGCCGAUGUCGGAUUCGCUUGUUGGCGGGGUAAAGGCCCACCAAGGCGACGAUCCGUAGCUGGUCUGAGAGGAUGAUCAGCCACACUGGAACUGAGACACGGCCCAGACUCCUACGGGAGGCAGCAGUGGGGAAUAUUGGACAAUGGGCGCAAGCCUGAUCCAGCCAUGCCGCGUGAGUGAAGAAGGCCCUCGGGUUGUAAAGCUCUUUUGUCCGGGAAGAAAAGCAUCGGGCUAAUACCUCGGUGUUCUGACGGUACCCAAAGAAUAAGCACCGGCUAACUUCGUG
rnacentral:rRNA from 1 species